GGAAGUGAUAAGCGAAAGGUGAAAGAGGGAUGGUGUGCUAGUGACCUUAGAGAGUUUGAAAAAUGUGACGGUCAUGUCUUCUGUGAGGAUCUCCGGAAAUAAGAUAAUGGAUAUGGCUGAAUCUGUACAAAAAGAAUCUUGUUAGCAAGUUUCUGAGAGCAUGGACAUCAAGAGCAGAAAUAGUCAUCCAGAAACAGACCCUGAUAAAGGGGAUGACUACUUUACUGCAGAGAUCAAUUGACUUUGAAAGGUUUGAAAGAAACUUUUAAGGCCAUAUAGGCAUCUAAUGAAUCAAGUGCCAAGUGAAGUGAAAGUGCUUGAGUAAAAGACAAUAAUAAACUUGUCCCACGCAGUCCCACAAAUCCCAGCUAACUUUCAUCAGCCUGGUAAGUAGGACAACAGAUUUUUUUCAU
rnacentral:lncRNA from 1 species